UACGGAGGGUGCGAGCGUUGUCCGGAAUCACUGGGCGUAAAGGGCGCGUAGGCGGUCUGCUAAGCGUGCGGUGAAAGCCUGGGGCUCAACCCCAGGUCUGCCGUGCGAACUGGUGGACUAGAGCACUGUAGAGGCAGGUGGAAUUUCGGGUGUAGCGGUGGAAUGCGUAGAGAUCCGAAAGAACACCGGUGGCGAAGGCGGCCUGCUGGGCAGUUGCUGACGCUGAGGUGCGAAAGCGUGGGUAGCAAACAGG
rnacentral:rRNA from 1 species